rnacentral:rRNA from 1 species
UGGGGAAUAUUGGACAAUGGGCGCAAGCCUGAUCCAGCAAUGCCGCGUGGGUGAAGAAGGCCUUCGGGUUGUAAAGCCCUUUUGUACGGGAAGAAAGACGCUGGGCUAAUACCCUGGCGGGAUGACGGUACCGUAAGAAUAAGCACCGGCUAACUUCGUGCCAGCAGCCGCGGUAAUACGAAGGGUGCAAGCGUUACUCGGAAUUACUGGGCGUAAAGCGUGCGUAGGCGGUUUGUUAAGUCCGUUGUGAAAGCCCUGGGCUCAACCUGGGAACUGCAGUGGAUACUGGCAAGCUAGAGUGCGGUAGAGGAGGGUGGAAUUCCCGGUGUAGCGGUGAAAUGCGUAGAGAUCGGGAGGAACAUCAGUGGCGAAGGCGGCCUUCUGGUCCAGUACUGACACUCAAGUGCGAAAGCGUGGGGAGCAA